GGAAGAGAAGAAGAUUCUAAAUACAAUGGAGAAAAAUCUUGGGGAGAUUCAAGAGAAUUUAAAUUCCAUUCAGGAGGAACUCUUAAAGUUGCAACAACAGAUAGAUCAAAAAGACAGUCUGGUGUUUCCGAAGGAGGAAGCUGGUGAGAAGAUGAGGGUUAGUGAUGAAGAUAAAGCACUCUCAGUGACAGACGCUGCCUAGCCGAUUGAAACAUUUGAUCACCAC